GGGGAGUUAGCUCAGUAGGUGAGAGCCACAGCCUUAUAAGCUGUAAGCCCUAGCAAGGUCAACAACGUGGAUUCGAACUCCACACUCCCUA
rnacentral:tRNA from 1 species